GGCUCUGUGGCUCAGUUGGUUAGAGUACCGCCCUGUCACGGCGGGGGUCAGGGGUUCAAGUCCCCUCAGAGUCGCCA
rnacentral:tRNA from 1 species